rnacentral:rRNA from 1 species
CACGUAGGGCGCAAGCGUUGUCCGGAAUUAUUGGGCGUAAAGAGCGUGUAGGCGGUCCGGUAAGUCGGCUGUGAAAGUCCAGGGCUCAACCCUGGGAUGCCGGUCGAUACUGCCCGGACUAGAGUUCGGAAGAGGCGAGUGGAAUCCCGGUGUAGCGGUGAAACUGCGCAGAUAUCGGGAGGAACACCUAUGGCGAAGGCAGCUCGCUGGGACGUUACUGAC